CCGGGGGGCACAGUCAAGCACAAACGCGCACCCCCAAAGUAUCAGCACCUGUCAUAGAGCUGAACACAAAGAAGUUGAGGCACUAUGAUGGAACUCUUUUCCAGUAUAAAUACAAGCUUCCUUCAGCAGAUCUCUGUGAUCGUGUCAAUUCCAUAAGGCUUCCACCAGACCUCUGUGAGUGGGCUGUAAAGAUACUUUCAGAAAAACAUUAAGUUCAAUGGACGGACUUCCAAGUAUUUAUUUAUAGUCUUAAUAAAUACCUUAGCUGUGGGAAUAGGACUGUAUCUUUAAGCUAUAACUGAAAUAAAGGUAAAGUAAGGAUGAACAAGAUUUUCUGACCAGUUAACCUUUACGUCUGGUUCCACGUAUAGCUUAAAAAGUCUAGACUGCCUG